AUUGAACGCUGGCGGCAUGCUUUACACAUGCAAGUCGAACGGCAGCACGAAAGAGCUUGCUCUUUUGGUGGCGAGUGGCGAACGGGUGAGUAAUGCAUCGGAACGUACCGAGUAAUGGGGGAUAACUGUCUGAAAGGAUAGCUAAUACCGCAUACGCUUUGAGAAGGAAAGUGGGGGCUCUUCGGACCUCACGUUAUUCGAGCGGCCGAUGUCUGAUUAGCUAGUUGGUGGGGUAAAGGCCUACCAAGGCGACGAUCAGUAGCGGGUCUGAGAGGAUGAUCCGCCACACUGGGACUGAGACACGGCCCAGACUCCUACGGGAGGCAGCAGUGGGGAAUUUUGGACAAUGGGCGCAAGCCUGAUCCAGCCAUGCCGCGUGUCUGAAGAAGGCCUUCGGGUUGUAAAGGACUUUUGUUAGGGAAGAAAAGGAUAGUGUUAAUACCUUUAUCUGCUGACGGUACCUAAAGAAUAAGCACCGGCUAACUACGUG
rnacentral:rRNA from 1 species